rnacentral:lncRNA from 1 species
GCAGUUAAUCGAGGGAUGACACAAGACCGAAUGGAAAGAAGUUGAGAAGAAAAAAGAAUGGGUGAGCACAAAAAUUUCGGCAGCAAGAAAAGAAAAAAAUAAAAAGGAAAACGGCAGCAAAAAGGAAGAAGAGGAGAAGAGAACACUGAAAAUUCUAUUUUUAGAGAAAAGAAAAAUAUGAACAGAAUAAUUCGAUAAGAACACCGACCCCAAAAUCCCUUAAUUCACUCCUAAAUUUUCUCCAUCAAACUUCCACUCCCCAAUUGGAUUAAUUUAAAACUCCUCCAUCCCUUAAUUUUCUCCCCAAAUCACUCUAACACCUCCCAAAACCGUCCACCACUUCCUCUCAACUACCAAAUUUAAAUUCCACUAAAAUACUUCAGCAUUUCGGCUAAACC